AGAAAGUGAUGACCACUCACUCACUACAACUGAGACCCUUUUAAGAUGCCUCAGCCAAUCCAGCUGCAAGAGGUGGGUGGUUGACACCACCUGGGACAGCCUCUUGAACCUGAGGGACCCACAGGUGCAGGAGACCCAUGGAUGGUUUCGGGAGGGCAUGCUGAUCCCUGGAGCAGACCAUUGACUGCAGGCUCCAGGAAGACAUCCAGCUGUGGUAACACUGUAAACAAGAAGCUGGCAACAUUAUGUCCUGCAAUCGUAACCAAACUUGUUUGCCUGAGAAAAUUGGAUGAAUAAGAAGUAGGACUGAGUGGAGCUGUAGGCAUUAAAGGGUUA